rnacentral:rRNA from 1 species
GAUGAACGCUGGCGGCGUGCCUAAUACAUGCAAGUCGAGCGAACGGACGAGAAGCUUGCUUCUCUGAUGUUAGCGGCGGACGGGUGAGUAACACGUGGAUAACCUACCUAUAAGACUGGGAUAACUUCGGGAAACCGGAGCUAAUACCGGAUAAUAUUUUGAACCGCAUGGUUCAAAAGUGAAAGACGGUCUUGCUGUCACUUAUAGAUGGACCCGCGCUGCAUUAGGUAGUUGGUAAGGUAACGGCUUACCAAGGCAACGAUGCAUAGCCGACCUGAGAGGGUGAUCGGCCGCACUAGAGCUGAGACACGCUCCAGGCUCCUACGGGAGGCAGCAGUAGGCAAUCUUCCGCAAUAGGCGAAAACCUGGCGGAGCAAGGCCGCGUGAGUGAUGAAGGUCUUCGGUUCGUAAAACUCUGUUAUUAGGGAAGAACAUAUGUGUAAGUAACUGUGCACAUCUUGACGGUACCUAAUCAGAAAGCCCCGGCUAACUACGUG